ensembl:snoRNA predicted gene, 26225
CCCCAGAGUCUUGAGUUCAGUUCGGGGCACCUUCCCUGUUCUGUUAAUUAAGCUUUGGGACAUUGACACUGGCUGAGGAAAAAAAAAAGAUUGAAUAGAGAGUAUUACUCUAUUCAUAUACUUCCUAGCCUACACCC